AACGAACGCUGGCGGCGUGCCUAACACAUGCAAGUCGAACGGAAUUAGAGAGCUUGCUCUUUGAUUUAGUGGCGCACGGGUGAGUAACGCGUAGAUAAUCUGCCUGACGAUCUGGGAUAACACUUCGAAAGAGGUGCUAAUACCGGAUAAGCCCACGGGUUCUUUGGAAUCUGCGGGAAAAGGGGGGGACCUUCGGGCCUUCUGUCGUCAGAUGAGUCUGCGUACCAUUAGCUAGUUGGUAGGGUAAAGGCCUACCAAGGCGACGAUGGUUAGCUGGUCUGGGAGGAUGAUCAGCCACACUGGAACUGAGACACGGUCCAGACUCCUACGGGAGGCAGCAGUGGGGAAUUUUGCGCAAUGGGCGAAAGCCUGACGCAGCAACGCCGCGUGAGUGAUGAAGGCUUUCGGGUCGUAAAGCUCUGUCAAUGGGAAAGAAGUGUAUUUUGGCUAAUAUCCUUAAUACUUGACGGUACCCAUAAAGGAAGCACCGGCUAACUCCGUGCCAGCCGCCGCGGUAA
rnacentral:rRNA from 1 species